rfam:Lupinus angustifolius cultivar Tanjil chromosome LG05, whole genome shotgun sequence.
GUGUGCCUGGCUCCCUGUAUGCCAUUUGUAGAGUUCAUCAGCAUGGUUGAUGGCCUUAAUGAAUGGCGUACCAGGAGCCAUGCAUGC